CUUUUUUAUAAUAAAGUUUAAAUUAGAUCAAAAACCACCAGGCCUGUGAAGAUGGUCCCGGGUGGUUUGUGCGCAGCAGAGCUGAGGACUUUGGAGUUGUCAUGCACAGACAUCAGCGACUGCAGAAGGUGGAGCUGAGGCUGUGCCCUCCUGGAUCCAGCCAAGAUGAAGCAGCACAAGGCAGCUCCAAGAUAAUGAUUUAUUUUUGGCCCAAACUCGGAAUACCUCUCAGGACACCUCAGCAAGGAGGGAGCAAAAGAACCAAUGCAUUAACUCUGAGAAGGGGCAGCAGAAGGAAAGCCUGGAGCUGGAACAUCCUUUGAGCAACAGCAAAGCAAGAGAAAGCAAAAACAUCCCUCUAAGAUGGCUGCAAACAGAAGGUCUCUGCAGUCCCUCCUUAAGCACUAAAGAUAUUUUCAUUUCAAAAUAUCUACUUAAAGGCAGGUUUAAUCUCAAAACAGCAUUUUCCACUUUAAAAUAAAAAAUCACACACACGCACACAAAAAAAAACCCACCUUCAAAAAUGUCUUCAGUUAUUUCUCCUUCAAUUUUUU